UACGUAGGGCGCAAGCAUUGUCCGGAAUUAUUGGGCGUAAAGAGCUCGUAGGCGGUCUGUCGCGUCUGCCGUGAAAACCCGAGGCUUAACCUCGGGCUGGCGGUGGAUACGGGCAGACUAGAGGUAGGUAGGGGAGAAUGGAAUUCCCGGUGUAGCGGUGAAAUGCGCAGAUAUCGGGAGGAACACCGGUGGCGAAGGCGGUUCUCUGGGCCUUACCUGACGCUGAGGAGCGAAAGCGUGGGGAGCGAACAGG
rnacentral:rRNA from 1 species